GGUCCAGACAGAGGAAGGAAUGACAGAUUGAUAGCUCUUUCAUGAUUCUUUGGGUGGUGGUGCAUGGCCGUUCUUAGUUGGUGGAGUGAUUUGUCUGGUUAAUUCCGUUAACGAACGAGACUUAACCUGCUAAAUAGGGUACGGGAAUAGGCUUCGGCUGUCCCGUGAUCGCUUCUUAGAGGGACUUUGCGGUUAUAAAUCGCAAGGAAGUUUAAGGCAAUAACAGGUCUGUGAUGCCCUUAGAUGUCCUGGGCUGCACGCGCGCUACACUGAUGCGUUCAUCGAGUUUAUCCUUGGCCGAGAGGCCUGGGUAAUCUUUAGUACGCAUCGUGAUGGGGAUCGAUUAUUGCAAUUAUUAAUCGUGAACGAGGAAUGCCUAGUAUGCGCAAGUCAUCAGCUUGUGCAGAUUACGUCCCUGCCC
rnacentral:rRNA from 1 species